rnacentral:rRNA from 1 species
GACGUAGGGGGCAAGCGUUGUUCGGAAUUAUUGGGCGUAAAGCGCUCGUAGGCGGGACUGUAAGUCCGUGUUGAAAGACCUCGGCUCAACUGAGGGACCGGCUCGGAUACUAUAGUUCUUGAGGCAAUCAGAGGGUGAUGGAAUUCCCGGUGUAGCGGUGAAAUGCGCAGAUAUCAGGAGGAACACCGGUGGCGAAGGCGGGUCUCUGGGCAGUAACUGACGCUGAGGAGCGAAAGCGUGGGGAGCGAACAGG